CCAUCUCUUGGCUUUUAUAUCAAGGUUCCUAUUUGCUGUUGAAAUCUCAGAAGAAAUUUAUGGAAGGUUUGUCUAUCAUUUCCAAUUUAUAUUCGCAGGAUCAGCUGAAACAGCAAGGCUUGGGCAAGCAAAAGAAGAGACAGAGAGAGAUAGCCGAGCAUCAUGCCAAACGGAGGCCGAUUUCCAAGGAAGCUCGCUAAGACCAGCAGUGAUUCUGGCGCAAACGUCAAACGCCUUGAGCAAGAGACGAACAUAAAGAUCGAACAGCUGAAGCAGCAGGUAGCAAACAUCUCUCUAGAGGUGAUUCAGAUGCUUCUGAGAUGCUGGAACAUGCUUCCGUUUUCCUGACUCGUAUAGCAGAAUCGUUUGCUUCAUCUCCAGAGAAACUGGAUCAAUUGUGCAACCAUGGAUAGGCUGCACAAGCUCCUAGCUUAAUACUCCCUCCGCCCAAAAUAAGUGUCUCAACUUUGUACUAACUUUAGUACAAAGUUGUACUAAGCUUAUGACACUUAUUUGGGACCGAGGGAGUAGUUGUUAGCAA